rnacentral:rRNA from 1 species
UCAGUUAUCGUUUAUUUGAUAGUACCUUACUACAUGGAUACCUGUGGUAAUUCUAGAGCUAAUACAUGCUACAAACCCCGACUUCGGAAGGGGUGUAUUUAUUAAAUAAAAAACCAACGCCCUUCGGGGCUCCUUGGUGAAUCAUAAUAACUUAACGAAUCGCAUGGCCUUGCGCCGGCGAUGGUUCAUUCAAAUUUCUGCCCUAUCAACUUUCGAUGGUAGGAUAGUGGCCUACCAUGGUGGCAACGGGUAACGGGGAAUUAGGGUUCGAUUCCGGAGAGGGAGCCUGAGAAACGGCUACCACAUCCAAGGAAGGCAGCAGGCGCGCAAAUUACCCAAUCCCGAUACGGGGAGGUAGUGACAAUAAAUACUGAUACGGGGCUCUUUCGGGUCUCGUAAUUGGAAUGAGAACAAUUUAAAUCCCUUAACGAGGAACAAUUGGAGGGCAAGUCUGGUGCCAGCAGCCGCGGUAAUUCCAGCUCCAAUAGCGUAUAUUAAAGUUGUUGCAGUUAAAAAGYUMGUAGUUGAACCUUGGGCCUGGCUGGCCGGUCCGCCUCACCGCGAGUACUGGUCCGGCUGGGCCUUUCCUUCUGGGGAACCUCAUGGCCUUCACUGGCUGUGGGGGGAACCAGGACUUUUACUGUGAAAAAAUUAGAGUGUUCAAAGCAGGCCUUUGCUCGAAUACAUUAGCAUGGAAUAAUAGAAUAGGACGUGCGGUUCUAUUUUGUUGGUUUCUAGGACCGCCGUAAUGAUUAAUAGGGAUAGUCGGGGGCGUCAGUAUUCAGCUGUCAGAGGUGAAAUUCUUGGAUUUGCUGAAGACUAACUACUGCGAAAGCAUUCGCCAAGGAUGUUUUCAUUAAUCAGGGAACGAAAGUUAGGGGAUGGAAGACGAUCAGAUACCGUCGUAGUCUUACCCAUAAACUAUCCCGCCUAGGGAUCGGACGGGAUUCUAUG